UACGUAGGGGGCAAGCGUUGUCCGGAUUUAUUGGGCGUAAAGAGCGUGUAGGCGGCCAAGCAGGUCAGCUGUGAAAACUCGAGGCUCAACCUCGAGACGUCGGUUGAAACCGUUUGGCUAGAGUCCGGAAGAGGAGAGUGGAAUUCCCGGUGUAGCGGUGAAAUGCGCAGAUAUCGGGAAGAACACCCGUGGCGAAGGCGGCUCUCUGGGACGGUACUGACGCUGAGACGCGAAAAGCGUGGGGAGCGAACGAGG
rnacentral:rRNA from 1 species